rnacentral:miRNA from 1 species
UUCGGUGAAAUUUAGAACCAC